UACGUAGGGUGCAAGCGUUGUCCGGAAUUAUUGGGCGUAAAGAGCUCGUAGGCGGCCUGUCGCGUCGGCUGUGAAAACCUGGGGCUCAACCCCGGGCCUGCAGCCGAUACGGGCAGGCUAGAAUUCGGUAGGGGAGACUGGAAGUUCCUGGUGUAGCGGUGGAAUGCGCAGAUAUCAGGAGGAACACCAAUGGCGAAGGCAGAUCUCUGGGCCGUAACUGACGCUGAGGAGCGAAAGCAUGGGGAGCGAACAGG
rnacentral:rRNA from 1 species